UACGUAGGGUGCAGGCGUUAAUCGGAAUACUGGGCGUAAAGCGUGCGCAGGCGGUCUGCUAAGAGAGAUGUGAAAUCCCCGGGCUUAACCUGGGAACUGCGUUUCUAACUGGCAGGCUAGAGUGUGGCAGAGGGGGGUGGAAUUCCACGUGUAGCAGUGAAAUGCGUAGAGAUGUGGAGGAACACCGAUGGCGAAGGCAGCCCCCUGGGCUAACACUGACGCUCAUGCACGAAAGCGUGGGGAGCAAACAGGA
rnacentral:rRNA from 1 species